rnacentral:rRNA from 1 species
UAAGGAAUAUUGGUCAAUGGACGCAAGUCUGAACCAGCCAUGCCGCGUGAAGGAUGAAGGUCCUCUGGAUUGUAAACUUCUUUUAUCUGGGACGAAAACGGGAUUUUUAUCUCAAUUGACGGUACCAGAGGAAUAAGCACCGGCUAACUCCGUGCCAGCAGCCGCGGUAAUACGGAGGGGGCUAGCGUUGUCCGGAAUUACUGGGCGUAAAGCGCGCGUAGGCGGUCCACCAAGUCGGGGGUGAAAGCCCGGGGCUCAACCCCGGAAUGUCCUCCGAGACUGUUGGACUGGAGUUCGGGAGAGGAGAGCGGAAUUCCCAGUGUAGAGGUGAAAUUCGUAGAUAUUGGGAAGAACACCGGUGGCGAAGGCGGCUCUCUGGCCCGCAACUGACGCUGAGGCGCGAAAGCGUGGGGAGCAAACA